GAUGAAGAACGUAGCGAAAUGCGAUAAGUAGUGUGAAUUGCAGAAUUCAGUGAAUCAUCGAAUCUUUGAACGCACAUUGCGCCCGCCAGUAUUCUGGCGGGCAUGCCUGUUCGAGCGUCAUUUCAACCAUCAAGCCCCAGGCUUGUGUUGGGGACCUGCGGCUGCCGCAGGCCCUGAAAACCAGUGGCGGGCUCGCUGUCACACCGGGCGUAGUAGAUUUUAUCUCGCUCUGGGCGUGCUGCGGGUUCCGGCCGUUAAAAAACCCUUUUAACCCAAGGUUGACCUCGGAUCAGGUAGGAAUACCCGCUGAACUUAAGCAUAUCAUAAGCGGAGGA
rnacentral:misc_RNA from 1 species